rnacentral:rRNA from 1 species
AUUGAACGCUGGCGGCAUGCCUUACACGUGCAAGUCGAACGGUAACAGGUCUUCGGAUGCUGACGAGUGGCGAACGGGUGAGUAAUACAUCGGAACGUGCCUAGUAGUGGGGGAUAACUACUCGAAAGAGUGGCUAAUACCGCAUGAGAUCUACGGAUGAAAGCAGGGGAUCGCAAGACCUUGUGCUACUAGAGCGGCCGAUGGCAGAUUAGGUAGUUGGUGGGAUAAAAGCUUACCAAGCCGACGAUCUGUAGCUGGUCUGAGAGGACGAUCAGCCACACUGGGACUGAGACACGGCCCAGACUCCUACGGGAGGCAGCAGUGGGGAAUUUUGGACAAUGGGCGAAAGCCUGAUCCAGCAAUGCCGCGAGCAGGAUGAAGGCCUUCGGGUUGUAAACUGCUUUUGUACGGAACGAAAAGCCCGGGUUAAUACCCUGGGGUCAUGACGGUACCGUAAGAAUAAGCACCGGCUAACUACGUGCCAGCAGCCGCCGUAA